CCCUCCCUCCCUUCCUUCCUUCCUUCCUUCCUUCCUUCCUUUUUCUUCCCUGAACUAGGGAUUGAACCUAGGAAAACACAUUCUCCACCCCCCUCUUUCACCUCCCUCCCCUCCCUCCUUUGAGGGCUAAGUAAAGUUCUAACCCUGAGCUUUUUGUCCAGCCCUGUUUUUUCUUUAGCCAAAGACUUAUGAUGGCUAAUUCUGCUUGUCAGGUUGACUCUCCUGGGAAAAAGGAACCUUAACUGAAGACUUGCUUCCAUCAGAUUGGCCCGUGGGCAUUGCGUAUUGGGGGAGGGGCGUAUUUUAGAAUGCAAAUUGAUGUACGAGGGCCCAAUCCAUUGUGGAUGGUAGCAUUCUUGUGGCAGGUAGGCUUGGGCUGUAUAGAAAACAUAACUGAACAAGCUAGUGAGUGGUGUUCCUUCAUGGUUUCUGCUUCAGUCCCUGUUUUGAGUUCCUGCCCUGGCUUCCUUACUUUUGGGCAGUGUUUUAUCACAGCAACAGAGAAACACCCGAACAACAUUAAAGUGUACAUAGAAAAAGAGUGAAGUGAUAUGAGUAAAACAGGUCUGUUGUACAAGGUGUGCUCUGCCUUAGGAGAGAAAAGCACAGGAUCUAAUCCACUGUUUAGUAUUUCCCAAAACCAGAGUAGCCUCUGUGUAUUCUGUAAGUAGAAAUCAGAAGUAGGUACCAUGUCCGCCAGGAUGCUCAGAGAGUAAACAUUAUAUUUAGAGUUGAAGUCUAGGGAAUAUGAGAUUCAGAAAAGGGACUUUUGGUAGACCUGAUAAUGGAAUGUUCUGCUGGCCCCCUGUGGGGUCUAGAUACCGUCAGACAUGUUGAAAUAUGAUUUUUGCCACAUGGUAACAGACAAUAGAGUAAGUAGGCUAAUAUCCCCUCAAGAGACCCCGUCCUGGAGAAGAACAAAGCUAGACCUGAUUUGUUUUGUAUCUUAUUUAAGUAGAGUAUUGGCAAAACCUUAACAGAGAAAGCUGAUGACUUAUGCUGUCUACUUCUUUACAAUGUGACAGGUACUUUCUGGUUCUUUGAAUAGCAUGAAACACCAGGCCUCUAAAGUUGACAGUGUUAGGAAAGCCCCUGCUUGGAAAAGCCUGGCUUGACCUCAGGGCUUCAGUUCCAUUUCUUCAGUGAUCUUGUAGAGUAACACAUUCUUUAAUUCUGUCUCCCUGAAUCACAUAAUCUUCCCUAUAUUUUCUGAGGCAGUGCUGAAGCAAGGCUGGGACACUGAAAUGCGAUUUUCUAAAUGGUAAAACAAGGGUAAUGCUGCUCGAGAAUACCUUUCAAGUAGUUUCCUAGUUUGCUAGGUCUAGCUUUGCUCCUUUCUAGGAUGGGGUCUUUUAAGGGGAUAUUAGCCUACUUACUCUAUUGUCUGUUACCAUAUGGCAAAAGUCAUACUUCAACAUGUCUGAUGGUAUCUAGACCCCACAUGGGGCCAGCAGAACAUUCCAUUAUUUUCAGGUCUAUCUAAGGUCCCUUUUCUGGAUCUUCUAUUUCUGGUCCUAUUCUGGUUUUUGAAUAGUUGUUGUUAGACGUAUUCCUGAAGAGAGAUUUCAUUCCCUACUCUUUCUGCAGUCCCUGGGAUUGAACCAGGGCCUUGUGCAUGCCAGGCAAGAGCUUUGUCACUGAGCUGUACCUCCAGCCCCGAUUCCUUACUCUUAACAGUACCAGCUGGGAUAUCGGAAAGUUAACACUAAAAGGGACUCACAAAUACAGUGGGAUGGGAUGGGACAGCUUUGUUUUUGUACCUGUUUGCCACCCAUUGUCCCAACACUGAGAAAACUCUGGUGUUCUCUGGCAGCAUGCUCACAACUUCCAUGUGCAGAUCACAGUUCAGCUGAACAAUCGUAAUGUUUCCUACUUUAAAAGGAAAAAUAAGCUUUAUGAAACUGUGAAUUUACAUUUAUUUUUAACUGAUUUAAUCUUUUCUGUUUUAAUUUUAAUCUGAAAAAAUAAUGAUACCAUUUUAUUACUCUGUAUGCAUGAAAUUAGUUGAUGAAGUUUUAAAAAACAGUAGCUUGAAUCUAGAAGCAUCUAGAUUGUGGACUGAUUGGUUUGUGUAGCUAAAUUGCAAUGGUUUUUGGAAAGCUGAUAUAUCUUUUCUGCUUUACUCCUGUAAAGCAGGGGAAAAAAAUGCAUGUUUUUUUUUUCUUCUCUUUUUUUGCUUAAAAAAGUUUAAGCAAAAAUUAAGCAGAAUAGUUAGGCCAAAACAAAGCAUUCUUUUAUUUUCAUAGUGCACAGAUUUAUUGUAGGGGCUAUUUUAAAUGUAUAAUUCUACACUUCAUCUUAUCCAAAAGGUUCAGAAGCAAUGUUAAAUAUAUAAUUCUGAUGAAAUAGUAUGAUAAAGUCACUGUUUACCAGGGAUUGUUUGUACUUGUGGUCAUGAGGUUUGAAACUAUUGAAGACAUUGUUAAGAGACUCAGAGAAGUUGUAUGAAUAGUUGAUAAUGGUCGGUAAGUAAGCCUCAGCUGGAGCCUUGCUGUCCUUCUAAGGAGUCAAGAUUGCACACCCUGGUUUUGCUAGAAUCGUUGCCUUUUUUUAUUUUUUUUAUUUUUUAUUUUUUUUAUGGUCAUGGCUAUCCCAGUGGAGAUAGAGAGCAGUAUACAUUGUACCUGCUGACAUUUUAAAAGAUCUUUUCUGAGAUUUUUGUGUACAUUCAUAUAUAUGUAAACUCAAAUAUAUAUGCUUGUACAUAUAUACAUUUGUAUGUACAUAUAUGUGUAUUUUUACUUCUUAUAAAACAAGGUCAUAGAAUCUGCUCCUUUAUGCAGUCUAUACUCACUGCAUACUUAAUACCUACUUUUGAUAUUGUAUAUAUUAUACAACAGCAUUAAGUUUUAUUAGCUAAGUGUCUGAUUAUCAUUUAAAAGGUAGAAAGUAGCCGGGUGGUGGUAGUGCAUGCCUUUAAUCUCAGCACUCGGUAGGCAGAGUUAGGUGGAUUUCUGAGUUCGAGGCCAGUCUGGUCUACAAAGUGAGUUCCAGGACAGCCAAGGCUACACAGAGAAACCCUGUCUUGAAAAACCAAAGCCAACCAACCAACCAACUAACCAACCAACCAAACAACAACAAAAAAGAUAGGAAGUUUAGGUCUAAUGAAGUUGAAAAUGUGGGGUAAACCCAUGUGGUCUGAGUUUGAUUUCUAGUUUUGUCUCUAAAUACUGCUGGCCUUAGACAGGUUAGCUAAUUGUUUUGUUUCUGCAUCUACAAAAUGAGGUAAUAGUGACUAUUAGUAUUUACGUCCUAGAUUUGCUGUAAAGAAUAGUGAGUUAAUUUUUGUAAGUUCUUAAAACCAUGUCUGUAGCACAAUUAUAGUGUAAGUAUUCAUUCAUAGAAGUGGAACUGCUAGGUCAAAUGAUAAGUGUUUCACAUGGAAAUCAAUGUUUAUGCCUAGCAUUGCUGGUUUAUGGAGCUUGUAUGUGGCCUCAGGCAGUGUUAGCCCUUGUUGUAUAGUGCUGUCCUCUGACCACAACAGAUAGCUGUUUUUAUCAGAGCAUAUAUGACUACUAAGACCCCUAAGAUCAGUCUUCUUGACUGUUGAGGUUCUCUCAGAGGACAUGGAAAAGAUGGUGCGGGUCACUGGGGCCUUCCAGAGAUUCUUGCUGUUCACUUCUGCAUAUUGCAGUAGUGAUAUGUGAUUCUACCCUAAUUGCAUGGUAUAUUCUGAAGUGCAAGUGUGUAUGUAUAUAAAUAUAGAGACUAUGUAAGGUUAACUGAAGGUGGAAUUCCUUCUGUGUAGCUAUGGGGUAAGACUUUUGGCAUUGUUGGCUGCUUUAGGGUCACCCAUGCUUUCUGUAAGUCAGCUCAAUAAACCCAAGUGUUCUUCAAGUUGGACUUUGGUGGAGUAAUACUUCGGUUUGUCAUUGGUGCUCUAUAACGGGGGGGGGGGGGUUGACAUCUCUUUGCCUCCCCAGAGAAAGAAUUCUUGCAACAAAUGCUAAGGAUGGUUAUUUCCAUCCUUAGGUUUCUUCUUUUGGAACAAGCAAAGACUCUUUCUUUGUACUGGCAUGGCAGUAAUACUAGGAUGAGACUGCCAAGGAAUAUUCUCCCUGAUACAUUUCAGGACUCUGAAUAAUUACAGAACCUAAGUCAGAAUGAAAAUGGACACAGAUUUUUGGAAAUAUCUUUUAUACAUUUAGUUCCAGCUGUGUCUGAAAACCAAAAGAAUAUUUUCAAUAGUUUUUAGGUCUACACUAAAAUAUCAUCCAGAAAGAUUAUGCUAAUUUAGCAGUAUAGGAAUAUGCCUAUUUUCUUUGUGGAAAUUUUAAUUAGGCAAACAAAACCUACCACUUAAUAGGAGCUAGUGGGUAAGCAGUAGCAUAGAAAACUUGGAUUUCAUAAAGUGGAGGACAAUAAGUGUUUGGUUCAAGAUCAGACUUUAUAUUUAAUUCAUAUUUAUGUUGGAAACAUUAAAAAAUCAGUAUUUGCAGUCGGGUGGUGGUGGCGGCGGCACACACCUUCACAUCCAUUACUUGGCAGGGCAGAGGUGGGCAGAUCUCUAUGAAUUUGAGGCCAGCCUGGGCUACACAGAGAAACCCUGCCUCGAAAAAUGGUUUUUGCCUUUGGUCUUCGUUGUAAUCCAAAGGGCUUUUGUAAACAGAAAUAUGAAUUAUGAAAAAGUCAAAGUCUUGGCCUAAUUUAUUUAGAUUGCAAGAGAGGACAUGGUCCAGAUAUAUCCCAGUAUUUUCUGACUAAAGAAAUUCGAGAAUUGGAAAAAAAAAAACAGUUCUUUCAACAGAGUUCCUGUUAUUAUUUUAGCAGACUGAUUAUUGAGUAGAUAGUUGUAGACCUUUCUUUUCAGUGGUUUGUUUAACAGAUUAACAGACAGAAUUUUUAUCUUCCCUGGUGAAGAAAUGCUUGUUUCCACUGAAGAGACUAUUACACACAUGCCAGGUUUUCCUUUGAUCUGUGCUUGGUUGCUCUUUCUGUACUUUAUUAGUUGACAAGGUUAAUUAGUUGAUUUAAAGAAAACAUAGCUUGUUUGUAAACUUGAAAUCUCAAGUAACUUCUCUUCCUGCCAAAUAUUCUAUUAUAAUAUUCACUUAAAAUACAGAGUUAAAAUUUGUAAUGAAAAAUUAAAGAAAAUGAAUAGUUUCAGAGAAAAUUUUCAAGUGAAAAAAACAAAACAAAACAAAACAAAACCCACCCUGCUUGUAGGCAGUGAUGUCUCGUUGCAGGUGCAGUGCAUCUUUUGUAUUCUCAGCCAGAGCUAAAUGUUAGUAACAUUCAGAGAGAACUCGAGUUUCAGAGCAAACUUGGAAAAUAACAGUGAGAGUGGAAAGUAGCAGUUAGGACUGGAGUGGAUUUUAUGGAUGCUUUAUGUAAUUGUCCCACAUGGUCUGCUCUGGAAUUUGAAAAGAAUGUUACUUGUUUUCAUCUUGAGACAGAUGUUCCACCAAAUGAUUUUAGCUCAAGUCAACACAAACCCAUAGAAUGUUAGAGGUAGUAAAACUUUUUCUCUUUUGAAAUAAGAAGAAACAACAAAAUUUGGUUAAAAUAGUGAAAAACAGGAAUUUUGGAAAUACAAGUUAGUUAUUGCCAAAUACAACAGCAACAAAAACUGUAUUCCCAGAAUGCUGUCUCAUAUUCAAAUUGCAUGUCUGAGGAAUUUGACUGUAGAAAACGGAAGAACAUGUGAAGAGUAAAUAUAGCAUUGGGUUAAGUUGUCACAAUGUGCAUUAGAUUACAGAAUAUCCAUUUUUUUAGUCUUCUUUAAAUGUGUGAAAGAUGGACUGCAUAGUUCCAACUAGAAAUGCACAGUAUCAGAUACUGUAUAGACUAACUGGUCUAAGUUAAUUACAAUUUUACAACCACUAUGUAGGUGAAGAUAAUGAGACUUGAAACCAUUAAGUAACUUGCUCAAGAUUUUAUAGCUGGUACUGGUGAUAUCAAUAACAGCUCCUGCAGCUCACCCCACCAAGACUCGUGUUCACACUCAUCCCUGUUGCUAUCUUCCCAUGGGCAGUCAAGGUUCUGACUUUCUUCCUGCCACAUAACUGAUUUUACUCAUCCUGGACUAUAACAUCAAAGGAAUCACAUGACAUAUACUUGUUUUUUUUGCAAGAUUUCUUUCACUCAACUUCCCCCUUUUCUAUAUAUCUAUUUUUAUUAGAAUUUUGUCUUUGCUUCUUUUGUGUUAUUUUAUUGUAUGAAUAAGCGAGUUUUGCUUAUCCAUUUUUUGACAGACAACUGAAAUGCUAUAGUGACUAUUUGGCAUUUUGUUUUCUUUUAAAAAACACAGGGGUCUGGAGAGAAGGCUCAGACUGCUGACUGCUCUUCCGGAGAUCCUGAGUUCUCAGCAACCAUCAUCGCUAAUGGGAUCCAGUGCCCUCUAUUGAGGGCCCGAAGAGACUGUGAGUUGUUGGUUAGUUGCUGUUGGUCACUGUUGGUUGCAGUUUGUUAAGUAGCCGUGAACAAAGAAGAAAGAAGAAGAAAUUAGAUAUCCUGACUGGGAAGAUCAAACUUGGCCCAAGGAACUUGAGGCACCUAACCAGCAGGAAGAAGUCUGAUGAUAAUGUCACCCCCUUUCCUUUUUGUGUUAGGGGAUCGAUAGGGUGGGGAAUGGUGAAAGAAAGAAAAGCCCUCAAAGUAGCAAAAAACUGGUUAUAAACUGCUUUUAGUAUUUGGCUAAAAUGAAUUUUAAAAUCUUGCUUUUUUAAAAAAAAAGAUUUAUUUAUUUAUUAUUAUAUGCAAGUACACUGUAGCUGUCUUCAGACACCCCAGAAGAGGAUGUCAGAUCUCAGUAUGGAUGGUUGUGAGCCACCAUCUGGUUGCUGAAAUUUGAACUCGGGACCUUCAGAAGAGCAGUCAGUGCUCUUAACCGCUGAGCUAUCUCUCCAGUCCUAAAAUCUUGCUUUUAAUAUUUUUACUGUGAAACAAAAAGUUUUCAAUUUCUCCUGAGUAACUUGUCCAUUGAAUUUCUGGUCUUAGGCCACUGUAGGUUUCUUUUGAUAAGAAAUGGCCAUGUCUUUCCCAGAGUAGUUAUAUACCAUUUUAUACAGUAUAUAAUAAGAGUUGUAACAACAGUAUCAUCUCAUCAGAAUAUGGUUAAUAGUCUUUAGCAAUUCUGAAAUGCACACUAGCAUCUCAUUUGCUUUUAAAUUUCUAGAUUUCUCUUAUGGUUAAUUGUAUUGGUAAUUUGUAAGACUUGAUUGCCAUUUUAUUACGGAAUUGUUACUUUGUAAGUGGUACUCCCCAAAUAUUGGUUGUUUUCUCCCGUAUCAAAGUGUUCCUUAGUGUUCAGAAAAUUAACUUCUCAAAGAUGCAUAAUAAUUUAGUCUUAUUGAAACAACAAUAAUGUAGAUUAACUUUAUUAGCACAUAAUGGGUGAUUGGGGCAUAUUAGUUAAGAAAUUGUGGACUUUAAAAUUUUUAUAAGAUUUCUAAAGUUGAACUAAUUUUUUUCUUUUUGCUGUCAAGUAGAAUUUGAGUUAUUCCAAUGAAAAGAGGAUAAAACAUAAUUUACAAAAAUAAUGUCUUUAAUUCCGUUCCCGGGGGAUAUGAUGCCUUCUUGCCUCAGUGGAAAUUGAACUUACAAGUAUGCAUAAGCACACAACAGGCACACAAACACAUAGUUAAAAAUAAAAUCAGUCUUUGAAAGAUAAUGAUAAAUUAUCCUUAUUAGGUAAAUAACUAUUUGUAUAUAUGGAGUAAAUUUAGUAUGAAUUGGAUAUUUUUAGAGUUAAAAGCAGAAGUGCUAAUAUGAUUACUUGUCUGCGGUAUUGAAAUUAUUAUUAAAAGGCUUUUAUGGAAGCUACCUGCUUUGUAUUUCUUUUUUGUUUGUUUGUUUUGUUUGUUUGUUUGUUGUUUUUUUCGAGACAGGGUUUCUCUGUAUAGCCCUGGCUGUCCUGGAACUCACUCUGUAGACCAGGCUGGCCUUGAACUCAGAAAUUCGCCUGCCUCUGCCUCCCGAGUGCUGGGAUCAAAGGCGUGCGACACCACGCCCGGCUGUAUUUCUUGUUACUAUAAAAGGUCUGUAUAUUCCAAAUAUAAUCAUCUUAGAAUAAAUAAUUUCUUAUUUUAUAAAGGUUUAGCUUUUCUUUAAAAUUAUUUAUGUUGUGUGAGCUCUAGUUGCUUACUAUAUACUAAAUAUUCUACCAUUGAACUGUAUCCCCAGCCCUAAUGAGCUCAUGAUCACAGGUAUUUCAUUGAUGACUGUUUUAAGAAACAUUACAUUAGUGUGUGGCAUAAAUGUUCUUCUGGGAAGGGAAGGGAGGUAGGAUUAGUUAAUGUUACAAAGUACAUCUGGCUGUCAUUGACAGUGUACUAUGCUUGUUGAAACCUGGGCCCUCCCCUCAUGCCAAUUUGGCUUGAAUUCCACCUGUGCUGUUUAUUACGCAUGAUAAUGGGUGAGAACUUAUCCUUUCAAAGCUUCAGUUUGCCAAUCUGUGGACUUUUCUGUCAAGAGCUUUAGCUCAGAGCCUGACAUGACAGAUAAUUUUAAAACAGUAUGAAUUUCUGCUAGAAAUUUGUUCCUCCUGGAAAAUGUUUGGGUGUAGCAGGGCAUUAUUCUGUAACAGGAAGUCUUCUCUUAUGUGUCAGACUUUAUCUUAAGAUGAAUAUGGAAUAAAUAUGAGGCCAAAGAAGAAUCUGAGUUAAGAGUAUGAUUUGGUUGGUGGAUGGGAGCCCAUUAUAUUUUCUUUUGUUUCAAAUUAUAAUUUAAAUUAUUUGUUAGAGCAAAUGAUAUGCCAUGAAAAUAUGCCAGAAACAUAUACCCUUAUAAUUAUUAUCUCUAAUAUAUAUUGUUUUUUAAUUAAUACAAUAUCUUAUUGUGGUAUUUUCAUAUAUAAUUUGUUUCUGUUAGACUUCUCCCACUUUUCUCAUUUGUCUCCCCUUUUAUCCCUGUACCUUUACUGUUUGGGAUCUGCUGUUAGAGUUUAUGGGUGUGGGGUGACAAUAGAAGAUUAUGCUCUAGAGUGAGUUGGCUAGAGUUUUAAGCCUUUUAUCUAAUAAUAUUUGUUUUGUAAUCCAAAUAUAUAUGUGGAUAAACUUUGAGACUGAGCUACAACCAUAGUCCAUCUCUGAAAAAUGCAGUUACAAGAUCUUGUAUCAGUUGUUACGUUCUGCCAGUUCUUCAUGCAUUGUAUGCUUUUUUUUUUUUUUGACAUGUUCUCUUGGUGGUCUUAGAACAUGUCAAGAAGACUACUGACUGUCUAGUAUGUAAGUCCUAGGGCUUCUUUCUCUGCCUCCUCAGCACUGGAUUAUAAAUGCAUGCCACUAUGCCAGGCUUUUAAAAAAGUACAGGUUCUGGGCAUUGAACUCGGGCCCUGGUAUGUUUACUUUUUAGACAGGGUCUUACUAUGUAUCCCUUGCUGAUUUGGAACUCACCAUGUGGACCAACCAGGCUGGCCUUAAACUCUCAGAGAUUUGCCUGCCUCUGAGCAUUAUGUCAUGCUGGUUUUGAUACUGUUAAGAGAAGCUCUUUACCUGGUAAGCAAGUUAUCUCCCUAGUUCUUUGUUAAUAGGUCCUCUCUGUUUAGUCCCAGGACCAUGAUAGGGACCACCACCAAUGAUGUAUAAGUAAUCCAGUUGCUUUUAAAUUGGCCUGAUUCAAGAACUCUUACAAAAUAAGUUAACUUUGAUCAUCUUUAGAGAAGUUGAGUGCCAGCAUGCAGAGAAGGCAGUAAGCCAACACCACAGAACAGUAGAAACCCUGUAGUAGAGAGAGCAGUCAUGUUAGAAAGUCAAACAUGACUGCUGUCAGGAAGCUGUGACAAGGAUCAGCUAAUGUUUCUAUUGGAAGACUAGAUUUCUUUUUUUUUUUAAAGAUUUAUUUAUUGUUAUAUGUAAGUACACUGUAGCUGUCUUCAGACAGACCAGAGAACAGAGAAGGGUGUCAGAUCUCAUUACAGAUGGUUGUGAGCCACCAUGUGGUUGCUGGGAUUUGAACUCAGGACCUUUGGAAAAGCAGUCAGUGCUCUUAACUGCUGAGCCGUCUCUCCAGCCCCUAGAUUUCUUUUAUCCUGACGAAUUUUCCUAUUCAGUGACACUUAGUUAUGGCGACCAUGUAUCUCAGGGUUUCUUUGCUGUGAAGGGGCAACAUGAUCAAGGCAACUAUUAUAAAGGAAAACAUUUAAUUGGGGCUGGCUUACAGAGGUUCAGUCCAUUAUCAUCAUGGCGGGAAGCAUGGCAGCAUGCAGGUAGACUUGGUGCUGGAAGAGCUGGUUCUACAUCUUGGUCCACAGGCAGCAGAAGGGAACUGCCUCACUGGGUGGAGCUUGAGCUUAGGAGCCCUCAAAGCCCACCUACACAGUGCCUGCUCCACACCUACUCCAAUAAGGCCACACCGCCUAAUAGUGCCACUCCAUAUUACCAUGCAUUGAAAUGAAACACAUGAAUCUGUGAGGGCCAAACCUAUUCAAACCACCACACCAUGACAGACACUCCUUUACAUAUUCUUCACCUUUUUUUUUUUUUUUUUGUGGGCAGGCUGGAACCCAGGCCAAUGUAUCUCCUAGGCAAGUGCUCUAACACUGACUUAUAAAACCUACUGUUAGGUUUUUAUACAGUAGCAUGUAACUGUGCAUGUAGCUCUUAGCAAUUGGAAGUAACUCAUCCUGCAUAUUACUAAUAAUUCAUUUCUUUAAUUUCAAAAAAUCUCUUAGUUGACAAGAUUGGGCUAACUGAAUAGGCUAUAUGGGACUAGCUGGGACUUUGCUUUGUGGCAUUGUUGACCUGGGCAUGACUGAAGUCUGUCUUUCUUUCUUUCUUUCUUUCUUUCUUUCUUUCUUUCUUUCUUUCUUUUUAUGUAAUCACUUCAUAAUUGGAGUAAAGAGAGCUGUGUUGUCACCUAUUAGCUAUGUAUGAUCUUCAUUUGUGGGUCACAUUUUUCAUUUUGUAAUUUGAAUUAGUUAGGUUAGAUGUAGUAAAGUUACACUGUGUAUCAUUGUCGUAAGCAUUCAGGAGUAGUAAGGGAUGGUAGUAAAUCUGAAGAGAUGAGAGACUACACAUAGUCUGUGUAAAUGCUGACUUACUGACACUGCUCUGCUAGGAAAGCUGAUAAUGCUCAGUGUUGGUGAAUUCAUGACAAAGGCAUGUUUGCAGGACAUGUCUUCACAAAUGGAAUUUUAACUGACUUGUUUUUGUGACCAUGUUUUCCUGUCUUUUUCUGAAAUGUUUACAUUUCAAAUAUUUAUAAGCAUUUCCUCCAUAGAGCUGGACAGAUUUUUAAAAAAGAUUUAUUUAUUUAUUUAUUUAUUAUAUGUAAGUACACUGUUGCUGUCUUCAGACACUCCAGAAGAGGGAGUCAGAUCUUGUUGGUUGUGAGCCACCAUGUGGUUGCUGGGAUUUGAACACUGGACCUUCGGAAGAGCAGUCAGGUGCUCUUACCCACUGAGCCAUCUCACCAGCCCCAGAUUUAUUUUUUAAUUCAUUGUUUAAAAAAGAUUUUAUUUUUUUAAAUGUAUGUGAGUACACUGUCGCUGUCCUCAGACAUACCAGAAGAGGGCAUCAGAUCUUAUUACAUAUGUUUGUGAGUCACUAUAUGGUUGUUGGUAAUUGAACUCAGGACCUCUGGAAGAGCAGUUAGUGCUCUUAACCACUGAGCCAUCUCUCUAGCCCUUUAAUUCAUUUUGAAUCGACACAUAAAAAUUACAUUUAUCAAGUACAAUAUGAUAUUCUGAAAUGUGUCAUGUUGUAGAAUGGCUAAAUCAUGAUGCUUAACAUAUAUAUUACUUCACUUACCUUUUUUUUUGGUGGUGAGGACACUUAAAAUCUAUCAUUUCAAUGAUAUAAUCAAUUUUUAUUUAAAAGACUAGAGAGAUUGCUUAACAGUUAAGAAUUCAUUCUACUGUUUCAAAGAUUCUCAGUACCCAUGUUCGUGGCUUACUGCCUCUUGUAACUCUGGUUCCAGAGGAUCCAAUGGCUUCAUUAGGUACCCACACACACGUGCACAAACCUACACACACUUUUUUUUUCUCUCUCUCUCUCUUAAAAAUAAGAUAAAUCUUUAAAUUUUUAUUGCUUUUUUUCUUUGAUAAUUUUAUUUAUGUACAUACUAAAUUUGGGCAUCUUAACCCUUCUGCUAUCUUAUCUUCCAACUUCCUCUGAACCUUUGUUUUCAAUAAGCGUCUUCCCAUCUUGAUGUCUUUUCUUGUUUCUGACCCACUGAGUUAAUUAUGGUUGCUUCCAUAAACAUAGAUUAGAGUUAUUUCCUGGAACAUAGGCAAGUCAUAAGUGACUGAAAAAAAAAAUGACACCCUUUCCCCAGCCAGAGUUAAUGGCCAUUGUCUCUCACUGAUGGGUGAAGAGAUUUCUGGAGCCCCUUCCCAGUGCAUGCUGAAUGAUGAUACAGGUAAGCACAGUAGCCGUGAGUUUCUGAGUGUAAUGGCUGCAUCAUGUCAGAAGGCACUGUUUCACAGCAGGCCUCCCUAGCUGCUGUCUCUAUGACGUUCCUGAGACUUGAACGCAGUGAUCUACAUACACCUUUUAUUGUCAGGCACUCGACACUUGACUUAUUCUCUGUACUUGGCACUAACAGCUGUCUACUGUAAAAUGUUUCUAUGAUGAAGCUGAGAGCAAGUCUAUGGAUAUAGACACAUAUUUCAGAGGCAGUUUGAUACCAUGUCCAUUUAGCAAAAUUACAGUAAGUAGGUUGUCCUUAGAGCCUGUGACUUUUCCAGUCAUGGGCUUUUCAUCAGAUUCAAAGUAUCAGAAAUGAAUUAUUUUAUGUGGAGCAGACCUCAGAAAGGAAUCCCACCCACUUCAAUAGUAUUUUAUUUUAUUUUAUUUUAUUUUUAUGGUAGGCUGGGCUUGAACUUUUUAUGUAGAAUGAUCUUGAACUCUUGGUUCUCCCACCUUAUCCUUCCAAAUGUCAGGAUUACAGGCAUGUACCACCACACUUGGCCUCCUUCAGCGACUUUCAAAUAUAUAGUACAUUGUUUUAACUCAAGAAGACAUGAUAUACAAUGAAUUUGUUAAACGUUUUCUCUUUCAUUUGACCAACAUGUCAAUACCUCCUACUUCUCAGUCUUCAUUAAUCAUCCUUUUAUUUUCUGCUUCUCUGAACUCAUCCUUUUCUAUAUGAGUACAUUUAUAGUAUUUUUCUUUCUGGGCCUAGCCUAUUUCAUUUCACAUAGCUACCAGAUUGAUCUCCAUUGUUGUUCAUGAGGAUUUCCUUCUUUUUAAAAGACAAAUUUAAUUCCAGCCCACCUCCCACCACUGCUGUCUUCUGCUCAUUUGUUGGUGGGCACUUAGGUUGGUCCCCUCCCGCCGCUGUGGUGAGUAUGGCGAGGUGGAAAUGAGAGUGAGAUAGUCUUCAUUUCCUUUAGAUCCACACUCACUGGCUGCAUUGGUGAGUCAUAGUGUAUUUAUUUUUAUUUCUGGUUGUUUUUUGUAUUGGUAGGGGUUGACCAGGGCUUCCUGUGUUCCAGGGCAAGUGAUGUUCUCCAAAGUUGUUUCCUCAGUCCUAUUAUUUUUUAUUUUUUGAGAAACUGAAAUUGUUUUUAUUGUCUAUCUAUAAAAAGUUCCCAAAUUAUCUUGCUUCAAUCCCAUUUUUGAACUUAAAAAUUUCUCUUGGAAACAUAAAAUGCCUGGUUUCAGGGCAUUUCUUAUAUUGGAUCCUGUUCCUCUGUGUCCAAAAGAGAUGAUUGUGGCUUAUUUAGGAAAAAGAAUCUCAAGUCAUACAUGUAAAAUAAUUAUAGUUGUAAAACCAAAGUUAAAAUAGAGUAAAGAUAGACCACCUAAAUAGAUUUUUGUGUUCAAUGAUUAAAUGAUAGGAUCACGUUUUUUUCUAUUUGGCAAAUUCUAUGUAAGUUUUGUAAUUCUAUAUGUUAUGUACUUACAUGUUUUAUUUGUAAAUUUAAAGAUCUGAUAGUCACAGUCAGCUAUUGGAUGGGUCACACGGCCCCCAAUGGAGGAGCUAGAGAAAUUACCCAAAGAGCUAAAGGGAACUGCAACCCUAUAGGUGGAACAACAAUAUGAACUAACCAGUAACCCGGAGCUCUUGUCUCUAGCUGCAUAUGUAUCAAAAGAUGGCCUAGUCGGCCAUCACUGCAAAGAGAGGCCCAUUGGACUUGCAAACUUUAUAUGCCCCAGUACAGGUGAACCCCAGGGCCAAAAAGGGGGAGUGGGUGGGUAGGGGAUUGGGGGUGGGUGGGUAUGGGGGGACUUUGGGAUAGCAUUGAAAAUGUAAACGAGGAAAAUACCUAAUUAAAAAAAAGAAAAAGGAAAAAAUAAAAAUAAAGAUCUGAUAGAAGCAGUGUUAGGAUAACUUCAAAAUGAAGCCUAUGAGGUAUUGAAUUGUAUUGAGUUUAUAGUAGUGUGUGUGUAUGUGUGUGUGUGUGUGUGUGUGUAUAUAUAUAUAUAUACACAUACAUAUAUACAUAUAUAUACAUAUAUACACACAUAUAUACAUAUACAUAUAUAUGUAUAUAUAUAUAUGUUUAUAUUGCAAGGUAUGACAAGGUCCUGGAUUCAGUUCCCAGCAUGACAUGCACAAGAGAGAUGUCUAUUUUAGAAACAAAGAGUGUAGUUUUUAGAAUUAAUUUUCUGAUACUUUAAAAAAUGUUUGAAGAAAAUAACACCUAAAACAUGACCAAGUAUUAUCUGUGAGCUGGUAAAGGUAGAUAUUGAAAGGAUCUACAAACGGCCAGGGACAGCCAUAGUAACUUGUCAGAGAGAAGAGGCACACAAGAGAAUAGGGUGCAGGAGACCAGAGUCUGGACUGAAGCUUGGUAGCAAAAAUAACAGAAAAAAGGAAGGCACCUGUCUUUGGACAAAUGUGCCCUGGCGGAUGUUGGGAAAGUGGAGCCUUUCUACUUCUGUUUGCUUUGGUUUCUCUUUUAUGAGAAUUAGACUAAACGGAGUAAAAACUUAAUCUUUUAGUUAUUGCAUGUACUAGUUGCAUAUGUUUUUCUUGUUCAUUGCAUAAAAAUUUUAUUAAUGCAAACCAGUUAAAAACAUGACACUAAUGCCCAGUUGCUUUGUCUUUUUCUUGGGACUGUGUUUGUUUUGGAAGUUCUGUUGCAAUAAAUGUAGAUCUUUUAGGAACCUUUAUUAAAUGAUAGCAUGUAUAGCGAAAAGUAUACAAACUGCACAGCCCAGAAAUGAUGUCAAAAUGCAGACACUGUGCAGUCAUCUCUUGGGUUAAGAAGUAGAUCAUUAUCAAGUAUUCUACAAGCUUUCAUUAUGCUCCAUUCCAAUGGUAAACAUUUAGCCUCUCUAAAGAUACAGGGUGGAAAGUGAUUUUACCACAGUGACAGGAUUAGCUAUUCUAUAUUUAUAGAUAAUUAUUAAUAAUGAAUUCUUGAAUACAUUAAUGAAAUUCCAAGAAUAGGCAUGCACAUCUCCUUAGAUUUUGAAUCGAGUCUUACUGCUGCUUCAGCUCAGAGCAGUGUCAGAAAGUGAUAUGGAAGUGAAAGUAUGAUAAAGUACUAGAGAGGAGCCAAGAGAAAGUUAAACUGAUGGGUUGGCCUGUUUCUCCUUUCCAACAGAAAUCUACUUCUGUAGAGCUUCCUUGUGACCAAUUUUAAAGCCAGUGAAGUAAGAGAAAAUUAUGUUUUUGUUCUAGGCCGAGACAUCUAAGAGAGAUUAUCCCACCAUAUUCUUUCUUUCACUAACCUGUAGCUACACAUUUUACUUUUUUCUCCAGCCAACACAGCAGGUGGUUCCUUCUGUUCUACAGAUGUAAUGAGCGAUAGAGGAUGGUUCCUUUCAGAUGACAUUUGAAUAAAAUAAGUAGGGGACUUUGAUUUCCAAGAAUUUUGAAGAUGGAUAUAUAGUAACUGUACAUAUUCAUGGGGUAAAAUAUGUUGUUUUCUUUUGUUGUUUUUUUUUUUGAGACAGGGGUUCUCUGUGAAACCCUGGCUGUCCUGGAACUGGCUCUGUAGACUAGACCAGUCUGGCCUCAAACUCAGAGACCUGCCUGCCUCUGCCUUCUGAGAACUGGGAUUAAAGGUGUGAACCACCAUGCCUAGUUCAAUAUGAUGCUUUGGUAACAUAUACUUGUGUGAUCAUUGAAUCAGGGUAAUUAACAUAUUGUUAACUCAGAAAUUUACCCUUAUUUAUUUAUUUAUUUAUUUAUUUAUUUAUUUGAUCAUUGAUUUAGUGGACUACUGAGGGGGUGGGGAGUUGGGUGGGAGAUAAUUUGUGUUCAGUUUUAGAGUCCUGUGUUUACAGCAUCAAAAUAAAGGGUAAAACUGAAGAUCUAAAAAAAAAGUAAAAAAUUUUCUUUUUCUAUGUUUUUUUAAAAAAUAUAAUCAUAUAGUAUUUGCUAAAUAACUUCUUCUCAUGAGUACCUAAGGAAGACUCUAACAACAUGUAAUUGGAAAAACAGAUAUUUUUAGAAGUAUUAGAGUUAUUGGUCCUUGGAGAGUAAAGCACUGAGGUGAGUUAGGAGUUUGAAAUUUCUUUGAAUAAAGCAGGGUAAGACACGUCUUCUCAACACUAUGCGACCUGAGCGUCUUAGGUAAUCCAAGAUGGUGCUCUGAAGGAGACUGUGGAAUCCAUGGGAAGAAAUUACCACAGCACUGUAAUAAAGCUGCUCAUUGCCAUUCGUUGGGAGACGGUUUGGAAGAUUUUGGCUUUGGCCAAAAAGCCGAGGCUGAAUACUAAUUUUUCCUUCCUUGCAGUUAAUCUUUAAUUCUUUCAUGAAAAAGAAAUCUAAGUGAUUCAUUUUUUAAAAAGUUUAUUCAUUUAUUAUAUGUAUAUGAGUACACUAUAUAGCUGUCUUCAGACACACCAGAAGAGGGCAUUGGAUCCCAUUACAGAGAACUGUGAGCCAUCAUGUGCUUGCUGGGAAUUGAAUUUAGGACCUCUGGAAGAGCAGCCAGUGCUUUUAACUGCUGAUCCAUCUCUUUCGCCCCCUAAAUGAUUCAUUUUGUUGGCUGACAUACUAAUUAUUAUUUUUUAAAAGUACAUUUAUAAAUUUAUUCAUUUUAAAGAUGCAUUUGUGUAUAUGUGAACGUGUGCUAUGUGUGUAUGUCAGUGCUCGUGGAGGUCAUAAGAGUGUCAAUCUUCUGGGAGUUACAGGUGGUUGUGAGCCAUUUAAAAUGGAUGCUGGUAUCAAAACUCUGGCCUUAGAGAAUAUCUUACUCACUGAGCUAUCUUUUCAGCCCCUGUAAAUUAUUUUGUCUAGAAAAAUUUCCAGGGACUAAGAAAAUGUGAAUUAAAUAGACACUUUGUAGUUACAGUUCCUGGUGUAAGAUUAUGAGAGGUGAGUUACUCAAGGCUCAGAUAGCUCUUACAUAGGGUUUAGAACAUAAUACUUUAAAAUGUAAAUAUAAAUAGAUCUGUCAACUAUGAUCAAAAUGGACAGAGUUGAUAAAAAUGUAAGGUUACUUUGUAAGCAAAAUUUUAAAGAAUUAAAAUUCAUGUACCAGCAUUGAUACAUAGAAAGAAAUAACAUAAUAGAAUAAGUUGAAAGAGGAAGAAAAGUUGUAAAAGUAUCUCUUGGUAGGUAGGUAGCUUCUUGGGUGAAAUAUUUGCUUAAAGGAUAUUUCAGCAGUUAAGAGCACUUGCUGUUUUUGCAUAGGACCUAAUUUCAGUUCCCAAAACCUACCUGCUGGCUUUUUUUCUUUAUUAAAGAAUCUAAUUUUAUUUUUAUUAAUAUUUAUUUUUUACUUAUUCACUUUACAUGCUGCCUACUGACCCCUGACACUCACAAUCUUUCCCCAGUACUCCUGGACCUUUCUUCUCUGAGAUCAUGAGGGCCAGCUAUCUUAGGACCUUCCUUCUUCUACCAAAGCCAGGUUACCCUGUCCUGGGGAAAUGUGCUGAGGUUGCUGGUAAUGGACGCCUGCUGCUUGGCUUUCUUCUUGUUUCACUUUGCUGGCUUUGGGAAGUUCAUGUAGAAAUGUCCUUGAACUUGCUACUUCAUCCUGAUGGUCCAAAAGAAUCACUGGUUUUGUUAACAUUUUUUUUUAAAAAAAUUAGAUAUUUUCUUUAUUUACAUUUCAAAUGGUAUCCCCUUUCCUAGUUUCCUCUCUGAAAACCCCUAUCCCUUUCCCCCUCCCCUGCUCACCAACCCACCCACUCCCUCUUCCUGGCCCUGGCUGCCCCCUAUACUGGGACAUAUAACCUUCCCAGGGCCAAGGGCCUUUCCUCCUAUUGAUGACCGUAGGCAAUCCUCUGCUACAUAUGCAGCUAGAGCCAUGAGUCCUACCAUGUGUUUUCUUUGGUUGGUGGUUUAGUCCCAUCUCCCUACCUAUUCAAUAUAGUACUUGAAGCCCUAGCCAUAGCAAUUAGAAAACAAAAGGAGAUCAAAGGGAAUACAAAUUGGAAAGGAAGAAGUCAAAAUAUCACUAUUUUCAGAUGAUAUGAUAGUAUACAUAAGUGACCCCAAAAAUUCCACCAGAGAACUCCUAAACCUGAUAAACAACUUCAAUGAAAUAGCUGGAUAUAAAAUUAACUCAAACAAAUCAGUGGCCUUUCUCUAAACAAAGGAUAAACAGACUGAGAAAGAAAUUAGGGAAACAACACCUUUCACAGUAGUCACAAAUAAUAUAAAAUACCUUGGUGUGACUCUAACUAAGGAAGUAAAAGAUCUGUAUGACAAGAACUUCAAAUCUCUGAAGGAAGAAUUCGAAGAAGAUCUCAGAAGAUGGAAAGAUCUCCCAUGCUCAUGGAUUGACAGGAUUAAUAUAGAAAAAAAUGGCCUUCUUGCUGAAAGCAAUCUACAGAUUCAAUGCAAUCCCCAUCAAACUUCCAACUCAAUUCUUUACAGAGUUAGAAAGGUCAAUUUGCAAAUUCAUCUGGAAUAACAAAAAACCUAGGAUAGCAAAAACUAUUCUCAACAAUAAAAGAACCUUUGGUGGAAUCACCAUGCCUGACCUCAAGCUGUACUACAGAGCAAUUGUGAUAAAAACUGCAUGGUACUGGUACAGUGACAGACAGGUAGAUCAAUGGAAUAGAAUUGAAGACCCAGUAAUGAACCUACACAGCUAUGAUCACUUGAUAUUUGACAAAGGAGCUAAAACCGUCCAGUUGAAAAUACCAUUUUCAACAAAUGGUGCUGGCUUAACUGGUGGUCAGCAUGUAGAAGAAUGCAAAUCUAUCCAUUCUUAUCUCCUUGUACACAGCUCAAGUUUAAGUAAAUCAAGGACCUCCACAUAAAACCAGAGACACUGAAACUUAUAGAGGAGAAAGUGGGGAAGAGCCUCGGACAUGCUCGCUUAAAAUCAACUGUUACUACAAUUCCAAGGGAUGUGAUGCCCUCUUUUGGUCUCUUAAGGCUCCUGCUCAGUGCACAUAAAUUCAGGCCGGUACACACACACCCAUGCUCACACAGAGAAAUAAAAUAGAAAAUGCAGCUGUGUGGAUUAUUUAUGUUUUCAGCAUAUGUUUUCUAUACCACAGAUAACACCUCUAACCCUGUACAGCUGCGGUUUCCUAGAUGAAAGCGUGCUCUCCCGGUCAUUCUGGAGCUGCUUUUUUUUUUUUUUUAAUUCUUUUUGAUCAUGCAAAUUUCUCUUCAGUCCUGAGAGUCCUUGUCUGAAUGGCAUUAAAAAUUUUUGAAAUAUUACUAAUUGACCCCUUUAAAUUUUGCCAGUAAGUUUGUAGUAACAGGAUAUAUGAGUGUUUUGUUGCUGUUGCUGUUUUUCGGUGGUCCUGGAGUUUGAUUCCAAGGUGUUGCAUAUGCUAUGCAAAGCACAUGCUCUACCGGUCUCGGUUAAAAUCACAGUUGGCAGAUGGUGUUAUUCAGUUUGAUAUUUGCCAACUUUAAUAAGUGCUAUCAUAUUUUAUUUUUACUAUAAAUGUUUCAGUCUAGAAUGAUGAAAUGUUUUUGCAAGUCAUGUAAUAGUUUCCCUUGGGAUGGUAGAAGUCAUUUGCACACAGCAUACACACUUUCAUGAUAAAUGGAUGUACUGCUGAGGGUUUUUUAAAAAAUUUUAAUGUAUAUGUGUGUGCAUUUCUGUGAAUGUAUACCACAUGUGUGUGGGUACCUGCAGAGUCUAGAAGAAGGUUGUCUGAUCUUUUGGCUGGAGUUAGGUGGGUGGUAAAUCCCUUCCCACCUAAAUACCUGGAACAGAACUCAGGUUCUCUGCAAGAGCAGCAGGUACCCUCAAAUGCUGAGCCAUCUUUCAAGCCUCUGAAGAGUGUUUUUAUAUAAUUAGAUAACUGAAGCAAGAACCCCACAUCUCCCCCUCUUUCUUUCUCUCUAUCCCAAUAGUAAAGUCAUUGUUAUCUAGAACUCCCACAGAGAUAAUAAAAGAGUAAAAAUAGAAACUUAUUAGGAAAUACAUUUCUAUUUAUGAUAGCACAAAUACAAGUCAUGUGACCAGCCUUCAGGAACAGAGAGUACUUUUGUUUUGGAUUUCGACGUUUACUAGCUUCUCAAGAACACAUUUCUGCUACUUAACUGCUUUUUUGAUAGAAAGUUGGGUUUUCAAAAUGUGAUAUCUAUUAAUAAAUACAGCAUAGUUUCAUGUUCCAUUUGGGGAUUUUAUGAAAUGGAGAUGUUUUUAUUUUAUUAAAUUAUAUAUUGUUGAUAAUAUUAUCUUUCUUUCUCUUUUUUUCCCUUGUAUGCUAGGAAUCAAAUUCAGGUCUUGAAUGUACUAGGCAAGUUCUCUUCAUUGAGCUGUAUCCCUAGCCUUGAUAAUAUUCUUGGACUAAUUUGCCUUAAAAUAUAUUUUUGAUUUGGUUCUUUUGGAAGAGUUCUAGUUAUUAGUUUUUUUUUAAAUUUUGAGUUUAAAAUUUUCACUUUUUUCUGAGUAACAUAAUUUUCAUCCUAAGUAACAUAGAUUUGCAUAAGGAAAUAUUUUUAUUUUCUCUCUUUUACCUAUCUACUUAUUUACUUACUUAUACUUUUUAUUGAUUCUUUGUGAGUUUUAUAUCAUGUACCACUGUCCCACCAUCUCCCCAUCCCUUUGUAUCUGCCCUCUGUCCUUACAAUCUCUCCAUCAAAAGAAAAUUAAAAAACAACAAUAAAAACAAACUAAACAAAGCAUAGCAAACAUCUUAUUGUGGCAGUUGUAGUGUGUCACAGUGUGUUACACUGUAUACAUUUUCAUUCACACACGGUUACUUGCAAAUAUUGCAGUGAGUCAUCAGUCUGGUUCUAAGCAUCUGGUUUUUGCUAUAUCGUUAAUCCUGGAUCCUCACUGGGAUUCCUCUCAGGUAUCUUGUUUCCUGUGUCAUGAAGAUUCUGCAGCUUUGGAUCUGCAGGACUGCCUCUUUUACACACUCCAGCAAUUCAUAGUUGAGGUAGAUUUGGGAGUGGGCCAACUCAAUGCCCUGGAUGUAGGCCUGGGUGGUAGCUGAGCUGCUCAAUACCCCAGCUCUCCCACACCAGCACCACCAGGGCAAGCUGUCCAGCACUGUCCCAGCUAGCUCACCCAAUGUAGCAGUCUGCUAGGCACUUGUCGACUCUCCAGCUCCUUGGGGUCAGCUCUCUGGACUGCCUAAGGUGAGAGGGGUCAAGUGUAUCCCUCCUCCCCUGCUCACACCCUGCACAGGCAGGUGGCAGGGCGAGCUUUUCUGAGAUCACACCUUUGGGGCUGGCUUACUAAUUAUCACCCCCUCCAGGCCAGCUCUACUGUGUUGCCCAGGUGAGGUGCCAGGCCCACAUCAGUACUGCAGCUGAUGAGGGACAGGGGCAGAUCCAGCUCUCCUGCUCUCAUGACCCUGAUUCCAUGUGCACAUGGCAAGGGACAAGGUAGGGGGAACACAUCACUUCUCAUCACAACACCUCACUAGGUGAGUGGCAGGGCUGGCUCUCCCAAGCUCACGCCUCCUGGGGCAGUUCACUAUUGAGUCCCAGCCACCAGAGUCAGCUCUGCUGUGCUGCCCAGGCCAGGUGUAGGACCUGCUCUCCCAAGUGCUGUGGGUGAGAGGUGUGCUCAGCACACCCACCGAGGGGCAGGGCCAGCCCUGCACAGCCCUUGGACAUCUAUGUGAUCCCAAGUGGCUGCCCAGACCAGGGACACCUGCAUGGUCUUCAGUGGUAAUCUGAACCACAGGUACUAACACAGACCCCGGCUGCUUCAUGGCCACGGACCCGGAUAUGGUCCUCAGUGGCGGCAUGGACUGGUACUUUACCAUGGCAUCAGGUGGCGGGCCAGGAUACUCACAACAGGCUUUUUUCUCGCUGCUUGGUGUCUCCAGGUCCUCCUCUCUUCAUAAUGAUCAGCUGUCCCUCUUCUUCUCUUCCAUCUGUCCACCACAUAUCUUGGACAUUGUAGUACCCCUGCUUCAGGUAGCCCACAUAACUGGUGGGCCUCUGGGUAUCUUCCACCCAUCUGUGCCUUGAGGCGUGGAGGUAGGCAGGCCUCUGGGUGUUGUUCCCUGUGUGGCAUGGUGGCAGGUGGGUCUCCAGGUGCCCUCUGCCUGCCUGUGCUGAAAAAAGAAUCUCCAGGCAUUCAUUUAUUAAAUCAAUUUUUUGUUGUUGUUGUUUUGUUUUGCUUUUUUGAGACAGGGUUUCUCUGUGUAGCCCUGGCUGUCCUAGAACUCAACUUUGUAGACCAGGCUGGCCUCAAACUUAGAAAUCUGCCUGCUUCUGCCUCUGCCUCUCAAGUGCUGGGAUUAAAGGCGUGGGCCACCACUGCCCCGGUAAAUCAAUGUUUUUUUUUUAAAUACCUUUCUUGUCCCAAGAUGGUAAACUAAGUCACAUAAACUAUUUUAAAUGGAGCACUGUUUUUGAGAUGCUGAAAAAACCCACUUGGGAUUUCAGCUAAAUAAAAGUUUUGUUUAGCACCGUCAGUGUUCUUGUUCUAUUGGCUCUAAGGUAUCCUGGUAAGCCAUGCCAGUGCGGUCACCGUUCAUGCAGAGCUGUGUUACUAUAGGGUUUCAAAUGACAAAAGCAAUGCAACCCAGAACAAAAGCACCAUGAUUCCAGCUCAUGACAUGUGCUAUAAUUGAUGUUGGAAAAACUGACUGUUGACAGAGUCUUCAGGAUAGACACUCUGAGGAAGUAACAUCGAUAUGUGAGUGUGUAGACUGGACCAGUUGCUUGGACAAAUAGAAUAAUGUGUUCCAGUGGAACAAAUGAGUGCCGGAUCACACUGAUAGUGCUAGACUAGUAAGGAGAUUUGUACUUUACCCAAAAUGCAAUAAGAAGCCAAGAAAUGAGUUUAUAGGGAUUGGAGAGCGAGCUCAAGCUGCUUAAGCGCACUUGCUGCUCAUAGAGAAGACAUACACCCGGCUUAUAAAUAACUGCUAGUAACUGCAGCUCCAGAGUGUUUCCUAUCUUCUUGGCUCCCAUGUGCAUAUACAGACAUAGGCCUGUACAUAUAAAUAAAAAGUAAAAUACAUUUUAAGAAAGAAAUGAUAGUGUUAUCAUCUAAUUUAUUCUAAAAAUCUAGAUAAGAAAGGGAAGACUAGUAAUGAGGUAAGAAAUGUUGGAGACCUGACCUAGUGAGGACGGUAGAGACCAGAAGUCAAUAGAUUUGAAAUAUAGUCAGGAAAGAAAUGUGAGGACUGUAAUUCCACCACUUAGGGAAGCUGAUAUGGAAGGACUAUAGGUUUGAGGACAGCCUGUCCUAUAGGUGAGACCUUGUUUUUAAGGUAGUUGAGGAGACAACUCAGUGGCUAAGAGGGUUUGCUGUGCAUACAUAAGGACUGACCUGAGUUUGAAUCCUUAGCAGCCAAGUAAAAAGGUAAAAAAGUAAAAAGCACGACAGUGCUCUGACCCAGAGUUAAGGGGUGGGACUGGGGAGGAGGAUCCUGGGAGCUCCAGCCAGAUUAGCCAAAAGGAUAAGCUUCAGGCUCAGCAAGAGCCCAGCUAAGGCCAGUAAGGGAAAGGGUGCUAGAAGUGGGUGCCCAGGGUUCUGCUUGUGGGCACAUGCAGGCACAGGUCUCUAUAUUUACAUGUGGGCCCCUCCCUGCCACAUGACCACACAGUUGGGAUUGAUUAUUAAAUAACUGGAAGGAAGCAAACAUCAUUGAUGUCUGUAUUAUACUUUGUUAAUUUUAUACUCAGUAAAUAAAAAUAUUCAAUGAACACUGUAUAUCUACUAACUUGGUUUUUAUUUUCUUUGGUUUCAUAGUGAAGAUUUUAAAAUGCAGUUUUAGAGGUAAAAUUAGUGUGGCUGGAAUGGACAUACAGGAACACUGAUAAAGAAGACAUCCCCGAAAAUACAGCAUGAAUGAAUAAAAUUCAAAUUAUGGAAACCAUUCAUUGCUAAAAGACCCUGUCUGUCUUGAACAUUUAAUACGUAAAUGACUUAAAGAAUAUGUGCUCAGACAUUUUUUAUAUUUUCUGUUUUCCUGAGAAUCUGAGUUUCUAUCUGAUAUCAUUUUCUUUCAACUUAAGACUCUGUUAACAAUUUCGUGUAGGUCUGCAACUUGUUGUAGGUCUACCCUCAGACUUUUUUUUUUUAACUUUCUCUCUUUUUCAUAUUUAACAAUUUUAUCAAUUUACUUAUUGACUAUUGGCAGUGACUUUUUGGUGUUGUUGGUUUUUCAAUACAGGUUUGUUGUUGCUGUUUUGUAGCUUUGAUUGUCUUAGGACUGGUUCUGUAGAUCAGGCUGGCCUUGAACUCAGAGAGAUCCAUGCUGGGAUUAAAAGUGUGCAUCACGACCACUUGGCAGUUUAGUCUCUCUUAAACUAAGCUCACCAGUGAAUCUUAAAAUUUUAGACAGUGUCAUGUUUUGGUUCUGUUUUUCUAUUUUCUUAUGUUUUGCUUUCAUUCAAGUUUUCAUUUUAUUAUUUUGGUAGCAGUGUAUAGAAUAUGGAUAAAUGGGACACAGGAAAACCAAAUCAGGCAAGAAAUCAUGAAGUUCUAACGGGCGAUACAUGAAUGUAUAUACGUAUAUGUAUGUAUAUCUAUAUAUCUAUAUCUAUAUGUAUUAUUUAUUAUGUGAGUGCAUGCACAUAUAAGUAUAGGUGCCUAUGGAUGCCAGAAGGAGUGUGUCAGAACUCCUGGAGCUAGAGUCAUACAUAGUUGUAAGCUACCCAAUAUGGGUGCUGGGAACUGAACUGAACAUAUAUCUUUUAAAGAUCUAUUCUUGCCAUAUAGUCUAUAAUAGCCUCAAACUUAGUGCAUAGCUAACAUGGUCUUGAAUUUGCUAUUUUCCUGCCCAAGCCUCCUGGGUGAUAAUGCAUCUGAUAUUCUUUUCUACUUCUUAAUCCCUUUAAAUGUUCUGAUUCUGAGCUAUUUUUUUUUCUACUGUUAUUUUUAUCACCUCUGGUUAGACACUGUAUUACGGACUAAUUCUAUGACUAGAAAAAAAAUCACUCAAUUCUUUUCUAGAGGAUAUAUCAUACAAGAAUAGGCAAUUUCUAAUUACGGUCUUGUUUGUUUGUUUGUUUGUUCUGUUUGUUUUUCAAGAUAAGGCUUUUCUAGGUUGCUCUGGCAGUUCUGGAAUUUGCUUUGUAGACAAGACUGGCCUCAAACUCAGUGAUUUGAACAACCCCCACCCCCUGUCGCCAGAGUGCUAGGACUAAAGGCAUGCACCACCAUGCCCCAUAAUUACAGUCUUUAAAAGUUGAAAAUCAGCGAGGUUAAAGAAGGAAUAGACGUUUUGUUUGUUAUUCCCCUUGUCCCAAAUCCACAUGUUUUAGAGCUUUCUAGGUUUUGUUAGAGAUAAUAUAACUGAAUUUUUCCUGCCUUGUCGAUUUUGAGGAAAGUAUUAUUGCAGCAUAAGAAAGUUACAACCUUGACUUCAGGGCACAAGGUGAUAGGAAAUCUGUCCUUCCUUCCUUCCUUCCUUCCUUCCUUCCUUCCUUCCUUCCUUCCUUCCUUCCUUCUUUCCUUCCUUCCUUCCUUCCUUUCUUAGAUUUAUUUAUUAUUAUACGUAAGUACACUGUAGCUGUCUUCAGACGUGCCAGAAGAGGAUGUAAGAUCUCAUCAUGGGUGGUUGUGAGCCACCAUGUGGUUGCUGGGAUUUGAACUCUGUACCUUUGGAAGAGCAGUCAGUGCUCUUACCCACUGAACCAUCUCGCCAGGCCCAGGAAACAUUUCUAAAAGAAGUUGACACUUGAAUUGACUCUUGUAAAAUCUCUAAGAGUUAACUUGGUGUUGGGAAGCUAGGAUAUGGGUAAAGAGGAGAGUUUAUAAAAGGGACAAUAUAUUCAAAGGUGAGUUAAUGACAGUUGGGGGAGCUGUAAACAUAGUUUUGAAUGUAGAACUUUGGAAGCAUAGAAGAUAAUUAGGUUCACAUUAUUAGGAAGUCUAUCUUGAGUAUGAUGAGAAAUUAGUUAACUGGAAUAACAUGAAUUACAAAUUAUAGUAGUGUUUGGGGAAAAUAAUUUGGAAGGGUUGACAGGGAAUUCCAGAAGAGUAUAAUAGGGAGACAUAGUAAUUCAUGUAAGAAAUGGUAAGGAAAUUUUAUAGUUCAAAAUGAUAAUGCAUUUAUAGUUGCUGCUGGUUCCCGAAGGCCGGAAGGUCAUGCUAGCAUGGACGGAGAGAGCAGUGGAAUGGCUGUGAGUUAGCAGCUUGUGUGGUGCUGUCCUGAUGGUGGCGGUUCUCGGGCAUAUGCUCACAGCAGCUUCCAGCAUUGGUGGUGGUAAUUUUUAUGAUUUUGGCAGAGACAAGUGUUUCUGUGGAGUUGUUUCUUAGAAGUUACUCUGGGGCCCUCCUCUUUGCUUUUCUUAGUGAACUUGUGAGCUUGUAAGUUUUUUGUAGUGAGUUCACUUUUGCUUAGGUUAUUUACACUGGAUCUGAUCCUGUGUUAAUACUCUUUUUUUUCAAAAAAUUUUUAUUAGAUAUUUUUGUCAUUUACAUUUCAAAUGCUAUCCCAAAAGUCCUCUAUACCCUCCCCCCGCCCUGCUCCCCUACCCACUCACUCCCACUUCUUGGCCCUGGCGUUCCCCUGUACUGAGGCAUAUAAAGUUUGCAAGACCAAGGGGCCUCUCUUCCCAGUGAUGGCCAACUAGGCCAUCUUCUGCUACAUAUGCAGCUAGAGACAAGAGCUCAGGGGUACUGGUUAGUUCAUAUUGUUGUUCCUCCUAUAGGGUUGCAGACCCCUUUAGCUCCUUGGGUACUUUCUCUAGCUCCUCCAUUGGAGGACCUGUGUUCUAUCCUAUGGAUGACUGUGAGCAUCCACUUCUGUAGCAAGAUUUUGCUGAAAGGACCCUGAUAUAUCUGUCUCCUGUUACAUUUUGCCAGUGUUAAUACUCUUUUUUUGUGUGUGUGUGUGUGUGUGUGUGUGUGUGUGUGUGUGUGUGUGUUAAUACUCUUAACUGGUCCUAACCAAUGCUGAUUUAUGGGCUACAGAUGGGUCACUGGUAAUUCGCCUUUGGCUCUUAGUGGUAAAUGUUACUUAAGUUUUCAUCUGUGGUCACCUGAAAUAAAGUACUGGCUAAAGCAAAGCUUCGGUGGACUGAGUAGUGGUAUAUUUUGGGAGAUACAGGAUUAUAAGGAUUGUGGUUUUUAACUCUACAGCAGAGUUUAAAAGUGAUUUUUCUCUAAGAUAUUUAGAAAUCUUUGGUGACAGUUUUGGUUAUCAUCAUGGAGGGGAGAGAGUAUAAUUGGAUCUAGUGUAUAGAGAACCAGGAUGUUGCUAGUAAUACUGCUUCCUUUUCUCUCUCACAGCAAUUAUCUGACCCAGACUGUCAGUAGUACUGAGUCUGAGAAACUCUGGUUUAAAGAAAACCACUUUCUUUAAAAGGGUCACAGUUUUAAAUCAUGGCUGGUUAUUGUUAGAGAACUAAGGAAUUCUGUCUUUAGCCUAAAACUAUCUUUUAUAUCAUAUAAGUCUUGUAACUAUCAAGUUCAGAGUUAGACUGAAGUUACUCAACUAUAAUAUAGAAUGAGCUCAGAAAUUUGCCAGACUUUUUAGAUUUAUAAGGUGGGUCACCUUAUAAAUAAAAAAAGAGUGAGAUUUCAAGAAUUGGAUUGCUAGGAAUUUGGAAUAUUUGGAAGACUUUAGGUUUCUUUUGAGACAGUGUCUUAUAGUAGCCAAAGCUAUCCUCAGGCUCACUAUAUAAAUCAAUGUUGGGCUUGAAUUCUUGACACUCCCUACUUCCUGCCUCCACCUUCCAAGUGCUAAGGUUAUAGGUGAAUACUACACCUGGCUAACUAGGUAUUCUGAAUCUGUAAUUGUUUUUAUUACUCCUUGCCUGCUUUUCUUACUUGAUUCUGUUGCUGUGGCAAAUGUCAUGGACAAAAGCUACUUAGGAGAGGAAAGGCUUAUUUCAGUUUACACUUCCCAGUAAUAGUUCCUCACUAAGGGAAAUUGGGAUGGGAACUAUGAAGGAUGGCUGCUUAAUGGCUUAUUUAUUGAUCCUGCCUAGCUAGUUUUUCCCAGAACCACCCGCAUAGGAAUGAUGCUGCCCAUAGUGGACUAGUCUCUCUCACAUCAAUCAUAAAUCAAGACAGUCUCUCACAGACUCUGUCAUAGGCUGGUCUGAUCAAGACAGCUCUUUAAUUGACAUUCCCUCCUUCUAGGUGACACUAAAUUGUGUCAGGGGACCAGCAGAAGCAACAUCCUAUCUUCCAUAACUGAAAGAGUGGGUUCGCUUUGCCUAAAGGUGCCAUAGUGGCCUCACACCUCCCCCACUUUCUUCACAAUAUGGUCUUGAUAUGUAUACAGCCCAACUUGGCCUCAGAGUCACUGUGUAGCUCAGCCUGGCUUUGAACUUGUGAUUCUCUUGUUUUAGUUUGCCAAGUACUGAAAUUAUAGAUGUCUACCAUCACAUUUGGCAUGGCCUUGCUUUUUAAAAUCACAGCCAUUUCAUUGUCACUCCACCUCUUGGCUUUCAGAGCAGCUAAAGUCAGUCUCAUUGAUGAAAGACAAGUUUUAUGUAUUGCAUAUAAUUUUACUAAUUUAUAUUAGCAGACACCCCCAGGAAAUAUAUAUAAAAGGAGGAAUCUGAUUUUAUUGGGUGAAUUUAUUAAUACAGGCUACCCUAUACAGUUUCAGAUUUAGUACUUAUUCAAACAGUUCAAACUGUUUCUAAUUGUCUGCUUGUUUGUUUGACAGACAAUUUCACUCUUGAUCUACACUGAAUAAAAUUGAGAUACCACCUGGGUAUCGUGGUACAUGCCAAUAAUACUGGGUAUGGUGGUACAUGCCUAUAAUACUGGGUAUGGUGGCACAUGCCAAUAAUCUCAGCAUACAGGAAACUAAGACAGAAGGAUCACAUGUUUGAGGCAAGCCUAGGUUACAUAGCAUGACUGUUGUCUCAGGAAACAAAUGGGGAGUUGAAUAGAUAGACUGCUUCUAGCAUGGCUGAUACCUGAGACUUGAUCCCCAGUGCCACAUAAGCCAUACAUAGUGGCACAUAUAUGCAGUCUCAGCACUUUGGAGGUAUAGGAGGAUUAUAAAUUCAAGUUUAUCCUAGGCAACAUACUAUGAUGGAGGUUAGUUUGGAAUGCAUGAGAUCCUGUCUCAAAACAUAUAAGGAAACAGAGCAAAUACUGAAAUGGAAGACUUGUUGGGUUAGGAAAGUCGUAGGCUAGAAUUAUGUGAAACUGGCUUCCUUAGUUUCUGGCCAUAGAGCCAUAUUUACCCAUACUGAAUGAAAGAUGCUUAGUGUAAUUCUGUCAUCUAUCACAAAUGUUCUCUGCUACUUUUAAGAAGGUACAGUUGUGAGGGAACUACUGUCAUCCUUAAAAAGUGCUGUUGGGAUUGUCUUUGGCCUUGGGGUGAGUGUGAAAAAUUCUGCUACGAAAUUCGCCAGCUGUAUUCAAUUGAAUCCUGCAAUAUAAGCAAGGCAGGAAUAAGUUACCUGGUGCACAAAUGGUCAGAGUUCUGAGAACUGACAUGGAAGGGAAGCUCUCUAAGGCCUUAUUUGGUUGGAUAACAGAGUACAGAUAUAACCAGAACACCUCAAGUUUGAAGACUAUAGGCUUUUUGUCACUGUGAUGGAAUUACCCAGCUUUGUGUCUUGUUAUUACUUCACAGAUCUAGAACUCCUUGAAGAAAGAAGACAAAGUACUUUAUCUUAAGGAGAGACUGUUGAGAUAUUACAAUUAAGUAAAUCAGUUUUCUUUAUCUCUUUGUGUGAACAAAGGGACUUUUGUUCACACAAGAAAAAUACUUAAACCUCUCAAAGAUUAUUAGUAUUGGAACUAAUCCUAUUUCUUAGUGACUAAGGAUCAAUGUGUUCCAGCAAUAGGCUGAGAGCAACAGUAGUCAGAUUCGGACUGCAGCUUGGCCUUGGCUUUUCGCAGUAGCCUAAUGGAGCCAUAAAUUCAUUAUAUAAAUUAAAGAUUCUUAGUACAUACUUAGAAUAGAUAUAUUUAAAAGCUGAGAGAAUCUCUCAGUUGUCUUCUAUACUUAUGGAUUAAGAGUCACUGUGGUCUGAAGAGUAAAGUGUUAACACUCUGGUGUUUCAUUUUACACCCUGAAUCACAGAAAUCAAUCCUGUGUUGAAGAUGUGAAAGGUUUAAAUUUCAUUUAACUUUUGCUUUGCUAAUACAGAAAAUACAUUUCUUUACCCUGCCCCGAUCUGCCCCCUAUCUUCUCACCCCCCACUCCAAGCCCCACCCACUCCUGACUUAUUUAUUUAUUUUAUGUAUAUUAGUUCACCAUUGCUCUCUUCAGAUACCAGAAGAAGGCAUCCGAUCCCAUUACAGAUGGUUGUGAGCCACCAUGUGGUUGCUGAGAAUUGAACUCAGGACCUCUGGAAGAGCAGCCGAUGCUCUUAACUGCUGAACCAUCUCUCCAAUCCUAGAAGAUACGUUUUUGUAGAGACUUUUAAACUUGUACUACUCCUGUUGCUGGUUCCACAUAUAACCUCUUGGCUAGAAAUAGAUUCUAGUACCUGGUAAUCGGAUCAAGCAUAUUAAUUAACAGAGUCUCAGAAAUAGCCAACAGUGUACUACAUCAACACUAUAUUGUCUCCAUGGCUAGAGUAGCUUUUUGAUUCUUUGCCAUAAUUUAAUCUAUAGGAAUUUUGUUUGUUCACCAUCCAGUAGUUCCAUACAGUGGUUCCCUGUAGAAUGACAUCAUGUUGAUGCAUAAGACUUUCUGACAGAAAAUCAAUAAGCACUUAGAUCUUUUGUAAAGACAUAGCUGACAGUAGGACAUACAUUCCAUAAAAAAAUGUAAGAACAUUACACCUCAGUGAUUUUACUUUUUUGAGGUUACAAUGUGUUGUGCCCACCUUAGCCGGCAAGGAAGACACAACACGGUUGGAUUCUUCUCAACAGCCUUUAUUGCAGGAACGCCUUCAUGCUGCUACCGGAACCCCCUCCCCCCUGCUACGGGGAACCCCCCUGCUACAUGGACCCCGGGUACCCAGGAGGUCUGCUUAUAUACUCUCAGCUCCCAUCCACUCACGGCAGGCCACGUCACCUCACCAGGCACGCAGCUUCAGCCAAUCAGGGCAGCAGGGUCAUGUCUCCACCAAAUAUGGACUUGUUUACACUGCCAGCAUCAUGGUGCACCUGCGCAGCUCUCAGGAUGGUCGUGGCUAUUUUCAGGUGUAUGAGGAAGUCAGGUGCAAGUCAUAAGACUUAGCUGCAGUCCUGGGCACCAUCUUGAGACUGCUGCCACACCCACUCCUCACAACAAUGUUUUGGGUUAUGAUAAGAUAUAUUUCUGAAGUAUAAACUACUUUAUCUUACUUAUAUUUCCUAAUGUCCAGAUAGUAAUUGGCUGGUUUUGUUAGCUUCAGAGUUAGCAUAUUAAAGUAUAUCACUUUAACCACUUUACUGAUAAUCCACAAAGCUACCAUUGGGUUGCUACAUGACAGGCUCUGAUAGGAGAGUAGCAGUUUUGAGCUUAUUCAUUUUGGAGAUAAUUUCUUUGAAAAGAAUUAUUAGCUUGAUGUUAUACCUAAAGAGAACAAAAGUCCAAAUACUGCAUAUGAGUGAUAGGAACUACCCAUGCAGGACAAAGUUGACAGCUUCUGCUGUCACAUAGAAAUGAUACACAUGGGACUGAGCAAAAUGUGAGGGGUUGAGAGCUCACGUACAUUGAAUAAGCAAGAAGGCCUGUCUGCACUGCUAGUCCUCUUGCACUCCACCUCCCGUGGCUUUAUGUCUGAAGAGAUCACUAUGUACUUGGCUAAUGGUUCUGUAUGCUGUGUUGACACUUGCCAACUUAAGAUAAGAUUCUGAUAGAAAUUGCCGAGUGCCUCCUAAUAAUCUAUUCUUUUAUCUUUAGACCCAAAGCUUUUUACCCCUCCAACACAGCUGUCAGUCAACCAAUAGACUUCCUUGGAAGUGACUGUGAUCAUAUGACUGGGCUUAGAUCUGUGAUAUCUGUAAGCAAUUUGCCUUUCCAGAAAAUUUCUUAAGUAAUAAUUGUCUUCUCAGUUUCUACAUGAAACAAAGCUAGGCCUGGACAUGUAGAGGUUAUAGGAGGGGGGAUUGUAAAUUCUAGGCUAGCCUGGGCAACUUGUGAAAUCCUUGGUUAAGCCACUCCCAAACCUCCUAACACACUCCCCUUUGAUAUUCCUGAGUUAUUAUUUACUAAAACCCAUAUUCCAUCUUGGCUGCCCUGGACCCAGACCUGCAGCCCUCUCUGGCUGAGUUCCCCAACAUCUACAUAGUUACUAUGUUCUCUUUUCGGCACACCUCAGGCCAGGCUUCUACUCUUUUCCUGGCAUGGUGGCUAUCUCUCUUCCUGCUCCUUCCUUAGUCCCUUGCCUGGGAAUCCUAAAGUGCUGGCUCUGUCUCCCUACCCAGCCUUUGGCUGCCGACAACUUUAUUAACCAAUCAAAACCAAGUAGGGGCGGGGUCCCUCAGCAUCUUAUGUCCGGGAUGUGCAGAUUCUUGUGCAGUUUGGGGACCUAAUUAACAUAAUACAUACAGCGUGAGACCAAAUACGUAACAGUAGAGGAUUAGAAGUGCAAGGUCAUCUUAGACUAUGUAGGGAGGUUGGAGGCAAGCCUGGCUACUUGGGCCUCUUGUGGAGGAGGAGGAAGAAGAAGAGGAGGAGGAAGAGGAGGAGGAGGAAGAGGAGGAGGAGGAGAAAAGAGAAAGAAAAAGAAAAGGGAUUAGUUUUGAGACAAGAUUUUUGUUGGCUCUAUUUAAAUAUUUGUUGCUGAAUACAUAUUCUGUGGAUUAAUGGCCAGAUUUAUCCAAUAUGGCUCAAGAAGGAAGAUUGUGACCAGAAGAUAGAUAUUAGUUUAAAAGAAUUUUCCUCCCAUGAAAUGAAAUUAAAUGCCUACUACUGUAAUAAAACAUGAGUCUGAAAGUUGGGGGUAGUAGUGGCAGCAGUAACACACACCAUUAAUUCCAGCUCUUGGGCAACAGAAGCAGGUGGAUCUCUGAGUUCAAGGCCAGCCUGGUCUACAGAGUGAGUUCUAGGAUAGUCAGGGCUACACAGAGAAACCCUGUGUCGAAAAACCAAAAAGGAAAAAAAGAAAGUCUGGAAAGGUAGUUCCAUGGUUAAGAACACUGGCUGUUCUUCCAGAUUCCCCAGGUUCAAUUCCCAGCACCCACAUGGUGGCUUACAACCAUCUGUGACCUCAGUUUCAGGAUAUCCACUGUCCUCUUCUAGACUCCAUUGGUAUUGGUACCAGGUUUGUGUACCUACAUAGACAUAUAUGUAGGAAAAACACCCAUACACAUAAAAUUAGAAAACAGUAUUAACAAAUAAUCUUCUCAAGAAGCUGUAUCAAAUUACUAUAAGUAUAAACCUCACAUAUAUUGUAAAUUUAAUAUUGUAAAAUUGGGAAUUUUAAAACAACAGGGAUUCAGUUUCUUAGAGUUUUAAAGGCUUAGGGAUCAAAGUUAAGAUCUAAGUAAGGUUAGAUUCUUCCAGAGAACUGAGGGGAGAGUCAGUUCCAUGUGCAAAUCCUGCCUUGGAACAUGGCUACUGGGAGGCCUUGGCAGUUUUUGGCUUGUAGUUUUAUCAUUCCAGUCUUUGCUUUUCAUCUUCAUGUGGCAUUUCCCCCAUGUUUGUAUGUGUUUCUGAUUUUUCUUCUUAUGACACCAGUCAUUGGAGUUGGGUCCACUCUAAUCCAGCAUGACAUCCUUUUAACUAAUUAUAUGUGCAAAGACAUUGUUUUCAAAUAAUGUUUGUUCUCAGUAUUUAGGUAAUUGUGGAUAGAUAAUUCAACCUAGUAUACCAAACAACAAAAUACAUGCUGUGUAUAUUCUGGGAGUCUAAAGUUAUUCAAAUUAAUCUAAACAUACCUACCUUGUAAUUAUAAUACAAAAGGUACAUAUGGAAAAACACUAGGGACGGGGGUGGGGGGAGAGAAAUAUACUCCUUAAGCUUUAAUGGCCAGGGUUCUCUUUCUGGUUUAUAUUCAUUUAUAUUCAGUGCCACUUACUGAACUACUAUGGUCAUUUGCAACUUGGAACUAUCAUAAUAAAGCCUACUAUGAGUGUGUAUAUUUGUUUUUUCAUUUCUUUUGAGUGAUAUAGCUGUAUCACACAGUAUAUAUAUGAUUAGCUUAAAAAUUCUUCUUCGAAGUAUGACAGACAUACUGAACAAUACCAUAUCACAAUACUUGGUGAAUUUUGCUAAGUGAACAUACUUAUGUAAUCAGAGUACAGAUGUAGAAACACAACAUUAACCAACACAUUAGAAACCUCUCACCCCUUCCAAUCAUUAGCAUCCACUGACAGAUUAUUUUAGCAAUUUUUUUCUAGUAGAAUAUAAUAAUUUUUCUUCUUCAACAUAGGGGUGGGAGCAUAUUCUCCUUUGUCUUGUGCAAGGAUAUCAUUAUUUAAAUUUAUUGUAUAGGAAAUAAGAAACUUCUGUUUAGUCGGCUGAACAAAUUGAUGACCUAACAGAUUCAGUUUCUAGUACACAGAACAAACAACCAA